GGUUAAGCGACUAAGCGUACACGGUGGAUGCCCUGGCAGUCAGAGGCGAUGAAGGACGUGCUAAUCUGCGAUAAGCGUCGGUAAGGUGAUAUGAACCGUUAUAACCGGCGAUUUCCGAAUGGGGAAACCCAGUGUGAUUCGUCACACUAUCAUUAACUGAAUCCAUAGGUUAAUGAGGCGAACCGGGGGAACUGAAACAUCUAAGUACCCCGAGGAAAAGAAAUCAACCGAGAUUCCCCCAGUAGCGGCGAGCGAACGGGGAGGAGCCCAGAGCCUGAAUCAGUGUGUGUGUUAGUGGAAGCGUCUGGAAAGGCGCGCGAUACAGGGUGACAGCCCCGUACACAAAAAUGCACAUACUGUGAGCUCGAUGAGUAGGGCGGGACACGUGGUAUCCUGUCUGAAUAUGGGGGGACCAUCCUCCAAGGCUAAAUACUCCUGACUGACCGAUAGUGAACCAGUACCGUGAGGGAAAGGCGAAAAGAACCCCGGCGAGGGGAGUGAAAAAGAACCUGAAACCGUGUACGUACAAGCAGUGGGAGCCUCUUUAUGGGGUGACUGCGUACCUUUUGUAUAAUGGGUCAGCGACUUAUAUUCUGUAGCAAGGUUAACCGAAUAGGGGAGCCGAAGGGAAACCGAGUCUUAACUGGGCGUUAAGUUGCAGGGUAUAGACCCGAAACCCGGUGAUCUAGCCAUGGGCAGGUUGAAGGUUGGGUAACACUAACUGGAGGACCGAACCGACUAAUGUUGAAAAAUUAGCGGAUGACUUGUGGCUGGGGGUGAAAGGCCAAUCAAACCGGGAGAUAGCUGGUUCUCCCCGAAAGCUAUUUAGGUAGCGCCUCGUGAAUUCAUCUCCGGGGGUAGAGCACUGUUUCGGCAAGGGGGUCAUCCCGACUUACCAACCCGAUGCAAACUGCGAAUACCGGAGAAUGUUAUCACGGGAGACACACGGCGGGUGCUAACGUCCGUCGUGAAGAGGGAAACAACCCAGACCGCCAGCUAAGGUCCCAAAGUCAUGGUUAAGUGGGAAACGAUGUGGGAAGGCCCAGACAGCCAGGAUGUUGGCUUAGAAGCAGCCAUCAUUUAAAGAAAGCGUAAUAGCUCACUGGUCGAGUCGGCCUGCGCGGAAGAUGUAACGGGGCUAAACCAUGCACCGAAGCUGCGGCAGCGACACUAUGUGUUGUUGGGUAGGGGAGCGUUCUGUAAGCCUGUGAAGGUGUGCUGUGAGGCAUGCUGGAGGUAUCAGAAGUGCGAAUGCUGACAUAAGUAACGAUAAAGCGGGUGAAAAGCCCGCUCGCCGGAAGACCAAGGGUUCCUGUCCAACGUUAAUCGGGGCAGGGUGAGUCGACCCCUAAGGCGAGGCCGAAAGGCGUAGUCGAUGGGAAACAGGUUAAUAUUCCUGUACUUGGUGUUACUGCGAAGGGGGGACGGAGAAGGCUAUGUUGGCCGGGCGACGGUUGUCCCGGUUUAAGCGUGUAGGCUGAUUUUCCAGGCAAAUCCGGAAAAUCAAGGCUGAGGCGUGAUGACGAGGCACUACGGUGCUGAAGCAACAAAUGCCCUGCUUCCAGGAAAAGCCUCUAAGCAUCAGGUAACAUCAAAUCGUACCCCAAACCGACACAGGUGGUCAGGUAGAGAAUACCAAGGCGCUUGAGAGAACUCGGGUGAAGGAACUAGGCAAAAUGGUGCCGUAACUUCGGGAGAAGGCACGCUGAUAUGUAGGUGAAGCGACUUGCUCGUGGAGCUGAAAUCAGUCGAAGAUACCAGCUGGCUGCAACUGUUUAUUAAAAACACAGCACUGUGCAAACACGAAAGUGGACGUAUACGGUGUGACGCCUGCCCGGUGCCGGAAGGUUAAUUGAUGGGGUUAGCGGUAACGCGAAGCUCUUGAUCGAAGCCCCGGUAAACGGCGGCCGUAACUAUAACGGUCCUAAGGUAGCGAAAUUCCUUGUCGGGUAAGUUCCGACCUGCACGAAUGGCGUAAUGAUGGCCAGGCUGUCUCCACCCGAGACUCAGUGAAAUUGAACUCGCUGUGAAGAUGCAGUGUACCCGCGGCAAGACGGAAAGACCCCGUGAACCUUUACUAUAGCUUGACACUGAACAUUGAGCCUUGAUGUGUAGGAUAGGUGGGAGGCUUUGAAGUGUGGACGCCAGUCUGCAUGGAGCCGACCUUGAAAUACCACCCUUUAAUGUUUGAUGUUCUAACGUUGGCCCCUGAUCGGGGUUGCGGACAGUGUCUGGUGGGUAGUUUGACUGGGGCGGUCUCCUCCUAAAGAGUAACGGAGGAGCACGAAGGUUGGCUAAUCCUGGUCGGACAUCAGGAGGUUAGUGCAAUGGCAUAAGCCAGCUUGACUGCGAGCGUGACGGCGCGAGCAGGUGCGAAAGCAGGUCAUAGUGAUCCGGUGGUUCUGAAUGGAAGGGCCAUCGCUCAACGGAUAAAAGGUACUCCGGGGAUAACAGGCUGAUACCGCCCAAGAGUUCAUAUCGACGGCGGUGUUUGGCACCUCGAUGUCGGCUCAUCACAUCCUGGGGCUGAAGUAGGUCCCAAGGGUAUGGCUGUUCGCCAUUUAAAGUGGUACGCGAGCUGGGUUUAGAACGUCGUGAGACAGUUCGGUCCCUAUCUGCCGUGGGCGCUGGAGAACUGAGGGGGGCUGCUCCUAGUACGAGAGGACCGGAGUGGACGCAUCACUGGUGUUCGGGUUGUCAUGCCAAUGGCACUGCCCGGUAGCUAAAUGCGGAAGAGAUAAGUGCUGAAAGCAUCUAAGCACGAAACUUGCCCCGAGAUGAGUUCUCCCUGACUCCUUGAGAGUCCUGAAGGAACGUUGAAGACGACGACGUUGAUAGGCCGGGUGUGUAAGCGCAGCGAUGCGUUGAGCUAACCGGUACUAAUGAACCGUGAGGCUUAACCUU
rnacentral:rRNA from 1 species